rnacentral:lncRNA from 1 species
UUCAAUAUUGGUAAUCAAGUUAUGGUGUAUUUGUGCAAGGAACAUGUGAAGGAUAGAAAAAGUUUGACCAAAAAAAGAUUGGUCCAUUCCGGAUUAUGCAAAAAAUUAAUGACAAUGCCGAUGUUCUUAACCUCCCAGAUUAUAUAAAAAUUUCCAAUACGUUUAACAUGGCGGAUCUAUUUCAGUAUUAUCUUGUUGAUGACAACUCGAGGUCGAGUUCUUUACGAGUGAAAGGAAUGAUGCGGAGCAAUUAGCCUUACAUUUUAUGGUAGACUUGGACCGGGCCUAACUUCUGCUGCCGAUGUCCGUUGAAGGCCCA